UCAAUAUCAUUAAAAAGCGCAGUGAAAACACAUUAACACCUCAAAGUACCGACUGAGUCGUCAAGAUGAAGCUCGCUCUUUUACCACUUUUCGCUCUCGUUUUCAUCAUUGCCACCACCUUUCAAGAAACAAAAGCACAAGGAACCACCAGGACACCCUCACAGAGUACGACACCUUCCAGUGUUCCUGCCACUACUGUGAUAGGUGCACCUCGUCGCUCAGAAUGUGGACCAGGCCAAACACUUGUCCGAGGCACAUGUAGAGAUAUUCAGGGAAAAUGAUUCGCAAGAAAAAUUACGUCGAUAAAAUCAAUAAACUAAAUACAAAUUAUG